AGAGAAUAAGAGCAUAUGGAGUCAGAUGACUGAGAAAAUGACGAGCUCAAUCUCGCGCACUCUUGUGAGAGUUAGGUGUAUUCCUUUUCAUUUCUGAAGACAAAGGAAUCGUCCGGUUGGAAUAUUAUGGAAGACUUAUGAUAAAAACAUCCUAAAGAUUGAUUCUAUACAUCGUUUGACAUGUUCCUACGAACGUAAAAAACUUUUUUGACUUUUCGUCUGAACUUACUGCGCGAGCACAGUGCAUUUGGAUUACUCUACUGAACGCGCAAACAGAAUUGAGCCAUUAAAUUAAGAGUGCUUGGAAGAUACCCAUCAAGGACGAGACUGGCAAGGCCACCUCCAAGGUGAUGGUGGACAUCUUCAACACCCACGGUUCUCCUGAGGUCAUCUUGAGUGACCAAGGUCAUGAACAAUGGAACUAGGUGUGGUGAAUGGACCAACCAGACCCUCAAGACUGCCAUGGGAAAGUCUCAUGACGGCUACCAGGAAGGGUGGGAGAAUAACCUGAAGAUCACUGAAACCUCACCUGAUGUGGUGGAAGAUGUCGAAUCAGAUCAGAACGCCUUCGAGGACCACCUUCAGGCACGGACUGAGAAUGAUGGAGGUUUUUGACCAGACUGAACAUCGACAAGGCGGAGGAGGAGAGCUAUUGGAGCAGAAUCAAGUACUACGACAUCCGGGGCAAAUUACUUGGUUUGGAAGAAGAACGAAAGGAAGGCGAGACCUGGGAAACCUCGCUCCUCUUUCGCUCCUAGCUGAGGGUUACCUCGAUGGAAGCCAACAAUCUUCUCCAGCUGGAGCAGUUGGACGGUUGACCACUGAAAGCACUGACGCCCUACACUUCAAUGAAGCCCAAUAGACAAAGACCAUCAACUGUCCGAGCCACCCAGGAGGUAUCCUAUCCACCAGAACCAAUGAGUUCGGAUCAGUCCAAUUCUCUGUCUUCUGAGUUGAAGGGGGACCAGCUUGAGGCACAGUCCGAUGAUGCUGUGACACACCGCCCCAGACCAUGACGGACCCUCCACCUCCAAAUCGAUCCCGCUCCAGAGUACAGGCCUCAGUGUAACACUAAUUCCUUCGACGAUAAACGCGAAUCCGACUAUCACCCCUGGUGAGACAAAACCGCAACUCGUCAGUGAAGAGCACUUUUUGCC
rnacentral:lncRNA from 1 species